CACGUAGGGUGCGAGCGUUGUCCGGAAUUAUUGGGCGUAAAGAGCUCGUAGGCGGUGUGUCGCGUCGGCCGUGAAAACCUGCAGCUUAACUGUGGGCUUGCGGUCGAUACGGGCAUCACUGGAGUUCGGCAGGGGAGACUGGAAUUCCUGGUGUAGCGGUGAAAUGCGCAGAUAUCAGGAGGAACACCGGUGGCGAAGGCGGCUCUCUGGACCGAGACUGACGCUGAGGCGCGAAAGCGUGGGGAGCAAACAGG
rnacentral:rRNA from 1 species